AGGUCCCGCCUGCCCUGUGACGAAAGUUUAACGGCCGCGGUAUUUUGACCGUGCGAAGGUAGCGUAAUCACUUGUCUUUUAAAUGGAGACCCGUAUGAAUGGCACGACGAGGGCCACGCUGUCUCCUUUAUCCAGUCAAUGAAAUUGAUCUACCCGUGCAGAAGCGGGUAUACCACCAUAAGACGAGAAGACCCUAUGGAGCUUCAGACACCAGAUCAGACCGAGUUAAGACCCCUGGGUUAAUAGGAAUAAACCACACGGACCACUGUUCAAUUGUUUUCGGUUGGGGCGACCGCGGAGGAGAACCAAACCCCCGCACGGAACGGGGCAACACCCCUGAGAUCGGGCCCACAGGCCUGGUCAGCAGAACAUCUGGCCAUCAAGAUCCGGCAACGCCGAUCAACGGACCCAGUUACCCUAGGGAUAACAGCGCAAUCCCCUUUUAGAGCUCACAUCGACAAGGGGGUUUACGACCUCGAUGUUGGAUCAGGACCUCCUAAUGGUGCAGCCGCUAUUAAGGGUUCGUUUGUUCAACGAUUAAAGUCCU
rnacentral:rRNA from 1 species